GACGAACGCUGGCGGCGUGCUUAACACAUGCAAGUCGUACGGUAAGGCCCUUUCGGGGGUACACGAGUGGCGAACGGGUGAGUAACACGUGAGUAACCUGCCCACAACUUUGGGAUAACGCUAGGAAACUGGUGCUAAUACUGGAUAUGUGCUCCUGCUGCAUGGUGGGGGUUGGAAAGCUCCGGCGGUUGUGGAUGGACUCGCGGCCUAUCAGCUUGUUGGUGGGGUAGUGGCCUACCAAGGCGGCGACGGGUAGCCGGCCUGGGAGGGUGACCGGCCACAUGGGGCCUGGGUUCGGGCCCAGCGCCCACCGGGGGGCAGCGGGGGGAAUUUUGCCCCAUUGGCGGCAGGCCGGUGCAGCAACGCCGCGGGCGGGAAGGCGGGCUUCGGGUUGUAAACCGCCUUUAACCGGGACCAAGGUUUUUUUGACGGUACCUGCAGAAGAAGCACCGGCUAACUUCGUG
rnacentral:rRNA from 1 species